rnacentral:rRNA from 1 species
GACGAACGCUGGCGGCGUGCCUAAUACAUGCAAGUCGAACGCACAGUUUAUACCGUAGCUUGCUACACCAUAGACUGUGAGUUGCGAACGGGUGAGUAACGCGUAGGUAACCUGCCUGGUAGCGGGGGAUAACUAUUGGAAACGAUAGCUAAUACCGCAUAAUAUUAAUUAUUGCAUGAUAAUUGAUUGAAAGAUGCAACUGCAUCACUACCAGAUGGACCUGCGUUGUAUUAGCUAGUAGGUGAGGUAACGGCUCACCUAGGCGACGAUACAUAGCCGACCUGAGAGGGUGAUCGGCCACACUGGAACUGAGACACGGUCCAGACUCCUACGGGAGGCAGCAGUAGGGAAUCUUCCGCAAUGGGCGAAAGCCUGACGGAGCAACGCCGCGUGAGUGAAGAAGGUCUUCGGAUCGUAAAACUCUGUUAUAAGGGAAGAACGGAUGUGGAAGUGAAAAUGCACGUCUUGACGGUACAUUAUCAGAAAGGGAAGGGUAAACACGGG